AUAGCCACACAUUUUGAAGAUCGCGUCAGUCGCACGUCGCAAAGGAACUUUCUGAAUAACGAGCUUGUUGCGAAUAUUCCAAAGCGUCCAUGCAAGGAUCCCAAUGCACAACCAUCUAAUAUGGCGGUAACGCGGGGAGGAGGCAUCGAUCUCCGCGAGUAGGUCAGGGAAGUUGGAAUUGCACCACUGUCCGCCGACCGUUUCACGGAAGCACGACCACAGGAACUGGGCAGUGGAGCAGUUGAAGAAAAUGUGGUUCGAAUCCUCCACCGUGGCGCACAGGGGACACAUCCCGUCCCCAGGGCCAUUGCGCUUGCGGACUUCCACCCCAGAGGGGAGACGUCCCCGAAUCCACUGCCAGAGGAAUAUCCGGAUCUUGAGGGGGAGACGAAUGUCCCAGAUCAGGCUAAAGGGCUCAGGGGCCAGCGAAGGGGCGAUGGCAGCAUACAAAGACUUCGUGGAGAAGCAUCCCGAGGGCUCCAGACGCCACGCCAUGGAGUCGGUGGCGCCCUCUACCUGCAUUGGCAAGAGAGCGAUGUCCUGUAGAAGGGCGUCCCACGCGUCAACCUCCUGGGGGCCAAAGGAGCGCCGAAAGGCGAGGCGCCCUAAGUCAAUAAGGGCCGCUUCGACGGAAAUUCGGGGAUCUGCCGCAAUGGCAAAUAAGCCCGGGAAGCGGGCGGCCAGAGGGGAAUCUCCAAGCCAGCGGUCGAACCAAAACAGGGUCGAGGACCCGGAACCCACCGAGAUGGAAGUGCCAAUCCGGAGCACGGGGAGGAGCUGAAUCACCGCCUGCCAGAACUGGGAUCCCCCAGAGCGCUGGCAGAAAGCAAGAGGUUGUCCUCGAAGGUACUUAUUCUGAAUGAUGGUAAGCCAGAGGCCGCCCUCCCCGUUGGCAAUACGCCAUAGCCAUCGGGACAGGAGAGCAAUGUUCAUGCGACGGGAGGAUAAGAUCCCCAGACCUCCCUGGUCCUUGGGUUUGCAAAUGUCCGGCCAGCUCACCAUAUGCGUCUCAUGGAGUCUAUAGAAGCUCAUGAGGAACCAGAGAAGGCUAGCCAGCGAGGAGUUGAUGAGGAUUACCCGCGCCGCCUUCGAGAGCCACCGGCCCUUCCAGGGCUCGACUCGGUGUUGCAUCCGGGUCACGGAAGGGCGGAGGUCCGCUACGGUGAGGCGAGAGUCACUAAUGGGGAUCCCCAGAUAGGUCGUGGGGAAAGAACCCAGGCGGCAAUUAAGCCGGUCCGCAAUGCCCUGGGCCUCCACCGGUGGGUAUCCCAGCACCAUCACUUCGCUCUUAUCAAAGUUGAUGGUCAGACCGGACAUCCGUUGGAAGCAGAGGAGGAGGAACUUCAGGUUGGCAAUAUCGGACUCGGAGCCCUCAACCAUUAUUAUGGUGUCAUCGGCAUAUUGUAGGAGGGAGACCCCCCCCCCCCUCC